rnacentral:rRNA from 2 species
UUAUCGGAGAGUUUGAUCCUGGCUCAGGACGAACGCUGGCGGCGUGCCUAAUACAUGCAAGUCGAGCGGACAGAUGGGAGCUUGCUCCCUGAUGUUAGCGGCGGACGGGUGAGUAACACGUGGGUAACCUGCCUGUAAGACUGGGAUAACUCCGGGAAACCGGGGCUAAUACCGGAUGCUUGUUUGAACCGCAUGGUUCAAACAUAAAAGGUGGCUUCGGCUACCACUUACAGAUGGACCCGCGGCGCAUUAGCUAGUUGGUGAGGUAAUGGCUCACCAAGGCAACGAUGCGUAGCCGACCUGAGAGGGUGAUCGGCCACACUGGGACUGAGACACGGCCCAGACUCCUACGGGAGGCAGCAGUAGGGAAUCUUCCGCAAUGGACGAAAGUCUGACGGAGCAACGCCGCGU